GGAAAAAAUCAAUGUUUGGUAAAAGGGUUUACCAAAGGUCAUGUUCCAGCUAAUUUGAAAUCUGAUUGGGAAUCUAUUGCUACAAAAUUAAAUGUAAACGGGCCUCCGAUUAGAGAAUCCGAUGGCUGGCAAAAAGUUUGGAAAAUUUUAAAACUAAAAAGAAACUUGUGCACAACAAAGAUGAAACCAGCAGCACUGGAGGUGGCAUUUUUAAGCAAAUGACUUUGUCGCCAUUGGAUGAGUCUGUCGCUAAUAUAAUGCAGUUUCAAAAGUUACUGAACAGACCAGGUGGUGCACUUGGAAUAGAAAAUAAGGAAAACAUAAAGGUAAUAGACGUUAUAGUUCAUGAAAAUGAGUAAGUGGACAAUGCUGAAGACGAGACUGAUGUAACCUACUAUUGAAACUUCUCGAUCGCCCAGAAAAAACAAUGGUAAAAAGUCAUCAAGGAAAGUACAAACUAUUGAACUCUUGGAAGAGCGUUAUAAACUUUUGGAACAACACAAUCAAGAGCCAGGCAAUGCAAAUAUGUUUGUUGGUUGCCUUAACACUCGCCGCUGCACUACUAAUACAUUCUUCUUUUCAUCCUCACUUGAACUUAAGAUAUGUAACGCAUUUAUAAUCUUCAUUUUUUUCACUAUAUUUUUUAUUUUUCCGAAAGAGUCGAAAUUAGAAUUUAAAAUACAAAACAAAAUUAUUCCUUUUUUUUGUCAAUAACAGGGGAGUGUUGCCAACGUUUUUUAUUUGUUGCCAACUUUUAUUUUAAACUGUCGAUGUCGCUUCUAUGCCUUGCCAUAAUACCAUUUUUGAAUCGAAGCGACGGCGAGGGCGACUCUCACAUAAAGUCGACGACGACCAUAGUAACGACAACCGUAAUUGGGCCGAGUAUUUUUUAGUCGACGUUGAUAUUGUAAGCAUUUUGUAUUUGAUAUUUGACCAUGAAAAUAACAACAGCAAAACAAUUUGAAAUUUUGGUUUCCGAAUUGGAAAAAAUCCAUGUUUGGUAAAAGGGUUUACCAAAGGUCAUGUUCCAGCUAAUUUGAAAUCUGAUUGGGAAUCUAUUGCUACAAAAUUAAAUGUAAACGGGCCUCCGAUUAGAGACUCCGAUGGCUGGCAAAAAGUUUGGAAAAUUUUAAAACUAAAAAGAAACUUGUGCACAACAAAGAUGAAACCAGCAGCACUGGAGGUGGCAUUUUUAAGCAAAUGACUUUGUCGCCAUUGGAUGAGUCUGUCGCUAAUAUAAUGCAGUUUCAAAAGUUACUGAACAGACCAGGUGGUGCACUUGGAAUAGAAAAUAAGGAAAACAUAAAGGUAAUAGACGUUAUAGUUCAUGAAAAUGAGUAAGUGGACAAUGCUGAAGACGAGACUGAUGUAACCUACUAUUGAAACUUCUCGAUCGCCCAGAAAAAACAAUGGUAAAAAGUCAUCAAGGAAAGUACAAACUAUUGAACUCUUGGAAGAGCGUUAUAAACUUUUGGAACAACACAAUCAAGAGCCAGGCAAUGCAAAUAUGUUUGUUGGUUGCCUUAACACUCGCCGCUGCACUACUAAUACAUUCUUCUUUUCAUCCUCACUUGAACUUAAGAUAUGUAACGCAUUUAUAAUCUUCAUUUUUUUCACUAUAUUUUUUAUUUUUCCGAAAGAGUCGAAAUUAGAAUUUAAAAUACAAAACAAAAUUAUUCCUUUUUUUGUCAAUAACAAGGGAGUGUUGCCAACGUUUUUUAAUUGUUGCCAACUUUUAUUUUAAACUGUCGAUGUCGCUUCUAUGCCUUACCAUAAUACCAUUUUUGAAUCGAAGCGACGGCGAGGGCGACUCGCACAUAAAGUCGACGACGACUAUAGUAACGACAACCGUAAUUGGGCCGAAUAGCAAUUAUUUGUCGCUAUCGACAAAAAACGUCAACCCUAAUAUCAUUAUUGUGACAAGACUUAUUUUUGUAUUGUAAAUCUGUUUGAAUAAAUCCGGAUUAAGCAACAAAUCCCGAUAAUCCGGAUAAAAUUUUGUAAAAUGUUAUACUAUAGAAGAUUAACCCAUUGGGUUUAUUAUAUCCAGCGGGUUAGUCGUAUGUGUUUAUAUACCCCCUUAGAAAGAUAUAAAUACCGCCG